rnacentral:lncRNA from 1 species
AUGAAGUAUAUUCUUAGGGGAGACUUGGAGAGCAAAGCACAGGAAGUGCUGAGGAAGGAAGAAGGACACCGUGGAUCGUGGUGGAAGGCCCACGUGGACGCAAAGCAGCAAACACAGACCCAAGACACGACCCCAGGAGCCGAGAGCGGGAGACUGCACCAGCUUUGGAGACCAUCGGACACAUUGCUGGGGAAAGCAGACAUGAGCCUCCUUCAGCACCGGACACAGCCUAGGAUCCUGCUGGGCUCAGGACCUCCCCUCCCAUCUCGAGUCCCACGAGCUGUCGGACACAUUUGCUGAGGAAAGCCAGACAUGAGCGCCUCCUUCAGCACCGGACACAGCCUAGGAUCUGGCUGGGCUCAGGACCUCCCCUCCCAUCUCGAGUGCCACGAGGUGAGUCGGCCCUCUUCAGUGAAGCUCUCCACUCAAACCCAGGCCUCCCUCAGCUGGCAUGGGGAGGUGCCAAAGAUUGUGUGUAUGCCUGUGGGGGUCCCAACACUGCCUCAGGCAGUAGUACCCAGCGUGGUGUGCAUGUUAACUAGCAGAUGGAACACCACCUUCCAUCCCUAGGGUGUGCAAACUCUCACACUCAAUUUUCACUUCACAAGGGGAGCCCACCUUUUUGGAGCUUCUGUUCAGCUAAGCUCCCACGUUGGAGCACUAUUUCAAGUCCCAGCUGCUCCACUUCCCAUCCAGUCUCCUGCUCGUGUGCCCAGGAAUACAGCAGAUCCAGGCCAAGUACUUUGGCCCUACCACCCAUUUAGGAGAGUAGUAGGAGUUCCCUGCUCCAGGCUCCAUCCUGGCCCCUCCCUGACUGUUGGGGUCCUGUGGGAAGUGACCAGAAGCAGGAAGACCACUCUGUCACCACCUCUUUGACUCAUUUCCGUUUCAAAUGUAUAAAUCUUUGUGAAAAAUUACACACCACAUGGUCAUUUUCAGAUCAAUGUGGAAGCUUUAUUUAUCAACACAGGCAAUGAGUUGGAUCUGGUUCCAGGGAUUCAAACCCUUGCCACGUCACAAGGGAGGGAAGGCCAGGUCGGGUUGAGAAAUACCCAGCACUCUCCCCACGUACCCAUGGUGCAGCAUGAACACUACAGAGAGCCCUCCAUCGCCCCCCAGUCUCUUCCACUGCUCUCCCCAUUGUCCUGGAUCCAGUGCCCUGUUGCCGUUGAUUUCUCAACAAUGUUGCAGUGGAUUGGUUUCUGAGAGGAACAGCGUGGUGGGGGCAAGAGGCGCGGAGUCACCACACAGAGCCCGGGAGUCGGGUGAAAGCAGGCUUGAGGCGAGCAGCCGGCAGACU